rnacentral:rRNA from 1 species
UCCUACGGGAGGCAGCAGUGAGGAAUAUUGGUCAAUGGACGCAAGUCUGAACCAGCCAUGCCGCGUGCAGGAUGACGGCUCUAUGAGUUGUAAACUGCUUUUGUACGAGGGUAAACGCAGAUACGUGUAUCUGUCUGAAAGUAUCGUACGAAUAAGGAUCGGCUAACUCCGUGCCAGCAGCCGCGGUAAUACGGAGGAUUCAAGCGUUAUCCGGAUUUAUUGGGUUUAAAGGGUGCGUAGGCGGUUUGAUAAGUUAGAGGUGAAAUUUCGGGGCUCAACCCUGAACGUGCCUCUAAUACUGUUGAGCUAGAGAGUAGUUGCGGUAGGCGGAAUGUAUGGUGUAGCGGUGAAAUGCUUAGAGAUCAUACAGAACACCGAUUGCGAAGGCAGCUUACCAAACUAUAUCUGACGUUGAGGCACGAAAGCGUGGGGAGCAAACAGGAUUAGAUACCCUGGUAGUCCACGCAGUAAACGAUGAUAACUCGUUGUCGGCGAUACACAGUCGGUGACUAAGCGAAAGCGAUAAGUUAUCCACCUGGGGAGUACGUUCGCAAGAAUGAAACUCAAAGGAAUUGACGGGGGCCCGCACAAGCGGAGGAACAUGUGGUUUAAUUCGAUGAUACGCGAGGAACCUUACCCGGGCUUGAAAGUUAGCGACGAUUCUUGAAAGAGGAUUUCCCUUCGGGGCGCGAAACUAGGUGCUGCAUGGUUGUCGUCAGCUCGUGCCGUGAGGUGUCGGGUUAAGUCCCAU